rnacentral:rRNA from 1 species
UACGGAGGAUGCGAGCGUUAUCCGGAUUUAUUGGGCGUAAAGAGCGCGCAGGUGGUUAAUUAAGUCUGAUGUGAAAGCCCACGGCUUAACCGAGGAAUUGCAUCGGAAACUGUGUUUCUUGAGUGCAGAAGAGGAGAGUGGAACUCCAUGUGUAGCGGUGGAAUGCGUAGAUAUAUGGAAGAACACCAGUGGCGAAGGCGGCUCUCUGGUCUGUAACUGACGCUGAGGCUCGAAAGCAUGGGUAGCGAACAGG